GAUGAACGCUGGCGGCGUGCCUAAUACAUGCAAGUCGAGCGAACAGACGAGGAGCUUGCUCCUCUGACGUUAGCGGCGGACGGGUGAGUAACACGUGGAUAACCUACCUAUAAGACUGGGAUAACUUCGGGAAACCGGCGCUAAUACCGGAUAACAUGUUGAACCGCAUGGUUCAACAGUGAAAGACGGUCUUGCUGUCACUUAUAGAUGGAUCCGCGCCGCAUUAGCUAGUUGGUAAGGUAACGGCUUACCAAGGCAACGAUGCGUAGCCGACCUGAGAGGGUGAUCGGCCACACUGGAACUGAGACACGGUCCAGACUCCUACGGGAGGCAGCAGUAGGGAAUCUUCCGCAAUGGGCGAAAGCCUGACGGAGCAACGCCGCGUGAGUGAAGAAGUUCUUCGGAUCGUAAAACUCUGUUAUUAGGGAAGAACAAAUGUGUAAGUAACUAUGCACGUCUUGACGGUACCUUAUCAGAAAGCCACGGCUAACUACGUG
rnacentral:rRNA from 1 species